GACGAACGCUGGCGGCGUGCUUAACACAUGCAAGUCGAACGGAAAGGCCUGCUUUCCCUUGUGGAUUGCGGGUACUCGAGUGGCGAACGGGUGAGUAACACGUGAGUUAUCUGCCCCCAACUUGGGUAUAAGCCUGGGAAACUGGGUCUAAUUCCCGAUAGGACUGCAGGGUGGUGCCUGUGGUGGAAAACGAUUUUCUAGUGGUUGGGGAUGAGCUCGCGGCCUAUCAGCUUGUUGGUGGGGUAAUGGCCUACCAAGGCGGCGACGGGUAGCCGGCCUGGGAGGGUGGACGGCCACAUUGGGACUGAGAUACGGCCCAGACUCCUACGGGCGGCAGCAGUGGGGAAGAUUGCACAAUGGGCGGAAGCCUGAUGCAGCGACGCCGCGUGGGGGAUGACGGCCUUCGGGUUGUAAACUCCUUUCGACCGCGAGGAAGCCACCUGGUUGGAAGGGUGGUGACGGUAGUGGUAGAAGAAGCACCGGCUAACUACGUG
rnacentral:rRNA from 1 species